UACGGAAGGCAGCAGGGGGAAUAUUGCACAAUGGGCGAAAGCCUGAUGCAGCUAUGCCGCGUGUAUGAAGAAGGCCUUAGGGUUGUAAAGUACUUUCAUCGGGGAGGAAAAAACAAAACUAAUAAUUUUAUUUCUUGACGUUACCCGAAAAAGAAGCACCGGCUAACUCCGUGCCAGCAGCCGCGGUAAUACGGAGGGUGCUAGCGUUAAUCAGAAUUACUGGGCGUAAAGAGCACGUAGGUGGUUUUUUUAAGUCAGAUGUGAAAUCCCUGGGCUUAACCUAGGAACUGCAUUUUGAAACUGAAAUACUAGAGUAUCGUAGAGGGAGGUAGAAUUCUAGGUGUAGCGGUGAAAUGCGUAGAUAUCUGGAGGAAUACCUGUGGCGAAAGCGGCCUCCUAAACGAAUACUGACACUGAGGGUGCGAAAGCGUGGGGAGCAAACGAGGGAUUAGAUACC
rnacentral:rRNA from 1 species